rnacentral:rRNA from 1 species
CCUGGGGGGCAGCAGUGGGGGAUAUUGCACAAUGGGGGGAACCCUGAUGCAGCGACGCCGCGUGGGUGAAGGAGUAUUUCGGUAUGUAAAGCCCUAUCGGCAGGGAAGAAAUUGGACGGUACCUGACUAAGAAGCCCCGGCUAACUACGUGCCAGCAGCCGCGGUAAUACGUAGGGGGCAAGCGUUAUCCGGAUUCACUGGGUGUAAAGGGAGCGUAGACGGCCAUGCAAGCCAGGGGUGAAAGCCCGGGGCCCAACCCCGGGACUGCCCUUGGAACUGCAUGGCUGGAGUGCGGGAGGGGCAGGCGGAAGUCGUGGUGUAGCGGUGAAAUGCGUAGAUAUCAGGAGGAACACCGGCGGCGAAGGCGGCCUGCUGGACCGCGACUGACGUUGAGGCUCGAAAGCGUGGGGAGCGAACAGGAUUAGAUACCCCUGUAGUC